rnacentral:rRNA from 1 species
ACGAACGCUGGCGGCAUGCCUAACACCUGCAAGUCGAACGAGACCUUCGGGUCUAGUGGCGCACGGGUGCGUAACGCGUGGGAACCUGCCCUUAGGUUCGGAAUAACUCCCCGAAAGGGGUGCUAAUACCGGAUAAUGUCUUCGGACCAAAGAUUUAUCGCCUUUGGAUGGGCCCGCGUUGGAUUAGCUAGUUGGUAGGGUAAAAGCCUACCAAGGCGACGAUCCAUAGCUGGUCUGAGAGGAUGAUCAGCCACACUGGGACUGAGACACGGCCCAGACUCCUACGGGAGGCAGCAGUGGGGAAUAUUGGACAAUGGGCGAAAGCCUGAUCCAGCAAUGCCGCGUGAGUGAUGAAGGCCCUAGGGUUGUAAAGCUCUUUUACCCGGGAUGAUAAUGACAGUACCGGGAGAAUAAGCUCCGGCUAACUCCGUG